rnacentral:rRNA from 1 species
GAUGAACGCUGGCGGUGUGCCUAAUACAUGCAAGUCGAACGAAGCUGUUUUAACUGGUGCUUGCACCGACUUAAACAACUGAGUGGCGAACGGGUGAGUAACACGUGGGUAACCUGCCCCAAAGCGGGGGGUAACAUUUGGAAACAGAUGCUAAUACCGCAUAACCACAGAAACCACAUGGUUUCUGUGUCAAAGCUGGUUUAGGCUAUCCAUUUGGGCGGGAACCGCGGCGUAUUAGGUAGUUGGUAAGGUAAUGGCUUACCAAAGCAAUGAUACGUAGCCGAACUGAGAGGUUGCUCGGCCACAAUGGGACUGAGACACGGCCCAUACUCCUACGGGAGGCAGCAGUAGGGAAUCUUCCACAAUGGGCGCAAGCCUGAUGGAGCAACACCGCGUGAGUGAAGAAGGGUUUCGGCUCGUAAAACUCUGUUGUUAAAGAAGAACGUAUCUAAGAGUAACUGCUUAGGUAGUGACGGUAUUUAACCAGAAAGCCACGGCUAACUACGUGCCAGCCGCCGCCGUAA